GACGAACGCUGGCGGCGUGCCUAAUACAUGCAAGUAGAACGCUGAAGAGAGGAGCUUGCUCUUCUUGGAUGAGUUGCGAACGGGUGAGUAACGCGUAGGUAACCUGCCUUGUAGCGGGGGAUAACUAUUGGAAACGAUAGCUAAUACCGCAUAACAAUGGAUGACCCAUGUCAUUUAUUUGAAAGGGGCAAAUGCUCCACUACAAGAUGGACCUGCGUUGUAUUAGCUAGUAGGUGAGGUAACGGCUCACCUAGGCGACGAUACAUAGCCGACCUGAGAGGGUGAUCGGCCACACUGGGACUGAGACACGGCCCAGACUCCUACGGGAGGCAGCAGUAGGGAAUCUUCGGCAAUGGGGGCAACCCUGACCGAGCAACGCCGCGUGAGUGAAGAAGGUUGUCGGAUCGUAAAGCUCUGUUGUAAGUCAAGAACGAGUGUGAGAGUGGAAAGUUCACACUGUGACGGUAGCUUACCAGAAAGGGACGGCUAACUACGUG
rnacentral:rRNA from 1 species